AAGAGUCAAACCCUUUUUGUAUUUCGAAACCCGCCAGGUCCGGAAGGGAGCAACGGUAGAAUUUACUUCGACGCUCAAAGGGUAGCGGAGCUGAGUAUUGAUUAA
rnacentral:SRP_RNA from 1 species